UACGUAGGGUGCAAGCGUUAAUCGGAAUUACUGGGCGUAAAGCGUGCGCAGGCGGUUAUGCAAGACAGAUGUGAAAUCCCCGGGCUCAACCUGGGAACUGCAUUUGUGACUGCAUAGCUAGAGUGCGGCAGAGGGAGAUGGAAUUCCGCGUGUAGCAGUGAAAUGCGUAGAUAUGCGGAGGAACACCGAUGGCGAAAGCGGCUUCCUGGUCCAGCACCGACGUUCAGGCACGAAAGCGUGGGGAGCAAACAGG
rnacentral:rRNA from 1 species